CCAGCGGCCGCACGCCGCGGAGCAGGGGCUCGGAGGUCCCGGGAUUACGGUGCUCGAGCACGCUGGUGGGAAAGGACCCGGGACUUGAACAGUGUUGUGCGGCGCCAUGCAGGUCUCCAGCCUCAAUGAGGUGAAGAUUUACAGCCUCAGCUGCGGCAAGUCCCUUCCUGAGGUUUACUCUGUUGCCCAGGCUGGAGUGCAGUGGCACAAUCAUGGCUCACCUCAGCCUUGACUUCUCUGGGCUCAAUGAUUCUUGCACCUCAGCCUACUGAGUAGCUGGGACUACAGGUGUGUACCAACAUGCC
rnacentral:lncRNA from 1 species